rnacentral:tRNA from 1 species
GAGACUUUGUCUUAAUUAAAGUAUUUGAGUUGCAUUCAGAAGAUGGGGGUUGAUAUCCCCCAAGUCUUG